CUGUACCCUAGAACUGUCACUCUCCAAGGUGGCUCAAAUUACUGAUCACCUAACUCCAGGCUGGUCCAGGGUCGGUAUUGUUGAGAAAGGAGGUGGCUGAGAUUGACGGAAGCCCAUCUCCAUGCACACGGACGCACCAAGAACCCUCUCCAUGCAUUCCCACCACCCACCAUUAACAAAAACCUACGGUAUUUGAAGGCCCAAAAGAAAAGCCUGAACUGUUUGAAGUUUAGAUUAACCAUCCCCACCACCAAACCCCGCUAUAAAACGCCUCCAUUCCUUGCGUCCAUAAACAAGAAGAAGAAACAAAUUAACCCCAAGACCGAUCUCUUUCCCAUUUUUUUCUGCAGUCUCGCCAUCCACCGCUGCUGCAAUGGAGAUGAGGAUGAUUGCCUGCGCCGUCCUGGUCGCCGCCGCCUCGGCCACCUCGGCCUUGGCCGCUGAUGCCCCAGCGCCCAGCCCCGCCACCGGCGCCGCCUCCGAGGUCACCCCUGCCAUUGGAGCCAUGAUCGCGGCCUCCGUCCUUUCCUUCUUCGCCUUCUACUUGCAGUAGCUCUUUCAAGGAGAUAGAAAGAGCAAGAGCCAUCCAUGCAUGUGGAAAGAUAGGGGAAUAACUGUACUCGUUUGUUGAGGAUAUCUUAUCCUUUGCUUCCUUUUUUUUUCGUCACCUUCUUAUAUUGUUCGGUUUGAAAGAAGAGUUGGAUGGGCGAUUUGUUUGGAUUUAAUUUGUGAACUGGGGUGGAUAUUCCUGGAAUAAAAGAUCUGUAAGGUGUUAUUUAUAUUUUCAGACUACAUGGUUGAUGGUUCCUACAUUAUUAA
rnacentral:lncRNA from 1 species